CCGUGUAGAAAAGGAUGUCGCGCCGGUUAUUUUGCAAAAGAAAGCUCGGAGAAUUCCAGAACUAACAGGCAGUCCUCCCGCUCUCUUCUUCCUUGCCGCACGCCGCCGCCGCUCCCCUCUGCCGUAUAGGUCCGAAGGCGAGCUGCCCUCGACACUCCCCCUCCGCCGUCUAGCUCCACCGGGCUUCUCCCGUUCCGCCGUCCAGCUCCCCCGGGCUGCUCCCCCUCCGCCGUCCAAAGAUUUGGUUUUUCUUGGAAUGGGGAUGAGGGAGGCGAGAGCUGGUGCUGCAGCGCGAGAUAUGGUGCUUCCCAGCGCGCCGACUCCCUCCGCCCCGCAACUGCUGCGGCCGAGGCUGAUGACAUGCUGUUGUGGUGCUGAUGGCAACCUCUAAACAAUGGUCAUGCUCCCUCCUUGCAGCAUAGAUGCUGGACGGAGGGACCGAGGGAGUAGCUUCAUAUUGGUGCUAUAAUUGCUAAAUAUUGCAGGGAAACCGUCCUUGAUCUGUUGCAAUCCGAAGCUGAAAAUUCAGCAUGACAUGCAUGUCAAAGACAAUAAUUUGUAAAGUGUGGCCUAUUCUGUACUCAAGGGUGACAGUUUGUAUGGUUAUUUUACUCAACUAUUUUACUGCAGAAUUAGAGCAACAUAUAAUGUUGUUCCACAGAUGUUUAUACUCAGUAGGUACUGAUAUUUCCAUCACCAUCCAAACAGAACAUCAAGUUAUACUCAGUAACCUUCAGAACACCUGAGCAAUACAAUACAUUGAAAUUCUUUCAAUUAACUGUUAACUGAAACUCAACUGUGAACUAAUAACUGAAACUCAGCAAGCAAAUUCAACUUUGAACUGUUGACUGAAAUUUUUUCACAACAAAAUAGUGUUUGGUUACAUUAGAACUAUUAACUGAAAUAAUUUCAGAAUUUGUUUGACUUCAAGUCUUCAGAAUUUGAUUGAAAUAAGUACAGUACAGUACAGUACUCCAGGUGAGUAAGUGACCUGAGCUGAUUGUUAUCUUGCUAACUGUGGUUUCUGAACUGAAUAGAUGACCGAAUCUUGUUUCUGAACUGAAUAGAUGACCUGCCUGAGCUGAUUGUUAUCUUGCUAAGGUCUGAAUCUUGUUGCUUCUGAGUAUGAACUGCAGGUGCUCUGAAGAUUAUGAACUGCACUGUAUUGUUGGUUUCAGUUCAGGAGCAGAAGAUUAUGAACUGCAGGUGCUGCUGUCUAACUCCUGUCUUGGUGCUAAUCUCUGAAUCUUAUUGCUGCUGAGUAUGAGGAACACAAUUCAUGUAUUCUCCUCGUGAUCUCUAGGUGUUCUUCUUGAGCAAUCUGUCUACGGUAAGUUGUUCGGCAGCAGAGAAGUACCAAAACAAUCAAUCAAGUUUUUAUUUCAGCCGGACCAUCGAUCCGGCGCGCAGGCCUCGGCGACGACCUCCUUCCUCGCUGGCAGAUGGCGAGGGAGCUGCGGAGGCGGGGGAGACUGACGGCGCUAGCAAACUGGCCGGCCGGCCGCCCGCCAGGUACUCCGCGUCCGCGAGCUCCUCUGCGUCCGCGAUGCAGGCGAUCGCGAGCUCCUGCGCGCCCGCGAGAUUGGACUGCAUGCGCGAGGCCCGCGGCGCGAGAUUGGAUCGCAGCAGGACGACGACGGAGGGCACCGCGACGACAACGGAGGGUAGCACGACGGGAAGAUUUGAAUUUUGAUUUCAGAUUGAAUUUCAAUUUGAAGCCCAAAUUUCAAAUGUUCCGGAUGUUUAGGUUUUUUUCUUUAGCAAAAUUAAAUUGAACUGCAGGGGAGGAAGGAUGCGACAUCCUUUUACGAACAGAGGGAGUAGAAGAGAAAACCGAAACACCUCUCUAACGCUCGUCCGCGGCGCGCAGACGAAAAGCCGACCACGCGCGCUCUCCUUUCCUUUUUUCUUUCUGCGCCGUUUCCUUUUCUGUCUCAGCCUUCCGUUGCCAAUUAGCUCCAAAAUAUCUCCCUCCCCAGGCAGUCUCUUCCCUCUGUUAUGAAAUAUUAGUGUGGAUGUCCAUAACCCAUAUACCAUCAAAGACAUAACCUUCUAAUUCAAUGGAGUAACUCUCAUAGUAUCAAUUCUUGUAACUCCAUCUCACAUGUAUGACUAUGUAUAUGAGAGCUUAUGUAUUGGAAUGAGAUAUAAGAAAUUCCAAUUUCAUCUCU